GAUGAACGCUGGCGGCGUGCCUAAUACAUGCAAGUCGAGCGAACGGAGGGGAAUCUUGCUUGGCUGAUGUGAGCGGCGGACGAGUAAGGAGCACGGGGAUAACCUAACUAUAAGGCUGAGAUAACGGCGAGAAACCGGAGCUAAUACCAUUAAAUAAUUUGAACCUCAUGGUUCUAAAAUAGAAGAAGGUCUUGCUGGCAAGUAUAGAUGGAUCCGCGCUGCAUUAGCUAGUUGGUAAGGUAACGGCUUACGAAGGCAACGAAGCAUAGCCGACAUGAGAGGGUGAUCGGCCACACUGGAAGUGAGACACGGCACAGACUCCCACGGGCGGCAGCAUUAGGGAAUCUUCCGGAAUGGGCGAAAGACUGACGGAGCAACGCCGCGUGAGUGAUGCAGGUCUUCGGAUCGUAAAACUAUGUUAUUCGGGAAGAACAUAUGUUUAAGUAACUGUGAACAUCUUGACGGUACCUACUCAGAAAGCCACGGCUAACUACGUG
rnacentral:rRNA from 1 species